rnacentral:rRNA from 1 species
AUUGACGGGGGCCCGCACAAGCGGUGGAGCAUGUGGUUUAAUUCGAUGCAACGCGAAGAACCUUACCUGGUCUUGACAUCCACAGAACUUUCCAGAGAUGGACUGGUGCCUUCGGGAACUGUGAGACAGGUGCUGCAUGGCUGUCGUCAGCUCGUGUUGUGAAAUGUUGGGUUAAGUCCCGCAACGAGCGCAACCCUUAUCCU